UACGUAGGGUGCGAGCGUUGUCCGGAAUUAUUGGGCGUAAAGAGCUCGUAGGCGGUCUGUCGCGUCGGAUGUGAAAACCCAGGGCUCAACCCUGGGCCUGCAUUCGAUACGGGCAGACUAGAGUUCGGUAGGGGAGACUGGAAUUCCUGGUGUAGCGGUGAAAUGCGCAGAUAUCAGGAGGAACACCGGUGGCGAAGGCGGGUCUCUGGGCCGAAACUGAAGCUGAGGAGCGAAAGCGUGGGGAGCAAACAGG
rnacentral:rRNA from 1 species